AGAACGAACGCUGGCGGCAUGCCUAAUACAUGCAAGUCGAACGAAGGCUUCGGCCUUAGUGGCGCACGGGUGCGUAGCGCGUGGGAAUCUGCCCCUUGGUUCGGAAUAACAGUUGGAAACGACUGCUAAUACCGGAUGAUGACGAAAGUCCAAAGAUUUAUCGCCAAGGGAUGAGCCCGCGUAGGAUUAGCUAGUUGGUGAGGUAAAGGCUCACCAAGGCGACGAUCCUUAGCUGGUCUGAGAGGAUGAUCAGCCACACUGGGACUGAGACACGGCCCAGACUCCUACGGGAGCAGCAGGUAGGGAAUAUGGACAAGUGGGACGAAAGCCUGAUCCGAGCAAUCGGCCGCGUGAGUGAAGUAGGAA
rnacentral:rRNA from 1 species